ensembl:snoRNA small nucleolar RNA SNORA19
AUGCAUAAUUCAUUGUCCUGCUCUUUACCCUGUAAGAUCAAGGAUAUUUCUUUUAUGCAAGAGUAAUGCUGGAGGUAAAUUAGCGGAGUGGCUACACUGUGCCAACUCUGCCAGUCCCCUUCAUACAAGU